rnacentral:piRNA from 1 species
UGAUCAAGGCUUAAUAUAUCCCUAUUCCCCA